GGCGGCCGUAACUAUAACGGUCCUAAGGUAGCGAAAUUCCUUGUCGGGUAAGUUCCGACCCGCACGAAAGGCGUAACGAUUUGGGCACUGUCUCAACGAGAGACUCGGUGAAAUCAUAGUACCUGUGAAGAUGCAGGUUACCCGCGACAGGACGGAAAGACCCCGUGGAGCUUUACUGUAGCCUGAUAUUGAAAUUCGGCACAGCUUGUACAGGAUAGGUAGGAGCCUUUGAAACGUGAGCGCUAGCUUACGUGGAGGCGCUGGUGGGAUACUACCCUAGCUGUGUUGGCUUUCUAACCCGCACCACUUAUCGUGGUGGGAGACAGUGUCAGGCGGGCAGUUUGACUGGGGCGGUCGCCUCCUAAAAGGUAACGGAGGCGCUCAAAGGUUCCCUCAGAAUGGUUGGAAAUCAUUCAUAGAGUGUAAAGGCAUAAGGGAGCUUGACUGCGAGACCUACAAGUCGAGCAGGGUCGAAAGACGGACUUAGUGAUCCGGUGGUUCCGCAUGGAAGGGCCAUCGCUCAACGGAUAAAAGCUACCCCGGGGAUAACAGGCUUAUCUCCCCCAAGAGUUCACAUCGACGGGGAGGUUUGGCACCUCGAUGUCGGCUCAUCGCAUCCUGGGGCUGUAGUCGGUCCCAAGGGUUGGGCUGUUCGCCCAUUAAAGCGGUACGCGAGCUGGGUUCAGAACGUCGUGAGACAGUUCGGUCCCUAUCCGUCGUGGGCGUAGGAAAUUUGAGAGGAGCUGUCCUUAGUACGAGAGGACCGGGAUGGACAUACCUCUGGUGUACCAGUUGUCGUGCCAACGGCAUAGCUGGGUAGCUAUGUGUGGACGGGAUAAGUGCUGAAAGCAUCUAAGCAUGAAGCCCCCCU
rnacentral:rRNA from 1 species